rnacentral:other from 1 species
AACAAGCUUGGGAUUCCGUUCGUUACACAUCUGGACCCGACAAGCAUUGACCCAGGGAGCUGUGCCUGUCUCAUGGUGAGCAUGCCCACCUUAAUUGAGUGGGAAGCCUAAAGUGAGCAUACGGUGCCCACGUAAAACUUCUGGGGCUCCAAUGUCAGAUCGGUAAUCUCAAGCUAUUUU